rnacentral:rRNA from 1 species
CAUGCAAGUCGAACGGCAGCAUAGAGAGCUUGCUCUCUGAUGGCGAGUGGCGAACGGGUGAGUAAUACAUCGGAACGUGUCCGUUUGUGGGGGACAACCACCCGAAAGGGUGGCUAAUACCGCAUAAGACCUGAGGGUGAAAGCCGGGGACCGCAAGGCCUGGCGCGAACGGAGCGGCCGAUGACUGAUUAGCUGGUUGGCGGGGUAAAGGCCCACCAAGGCGACGAUCAGUAGCUGGUCUGAGAGGACGACCAGCCACACUGGAACUGAGACACGGUCCAGACUCCUACGGGAGGCAGCAGUGGGGAAUUUUGGACAAUGGGGGCAACCCUGAUCCAGCCAUGCCGCGUGCGGGAAGAAGGCCUUCGGGUUGUAAACCGCUUUUGUCAGGGACGAAAAGGUGCGGGUUAAGAGCUAGCACUGAUGACGGUACCUGAAGAAUAAGCACCGGCUAACUACGUGCCAGCAGCCGCGGUAAUACGUAGGGUGCGAGCGUUAAUCGGAAUUACUGGGCGUAAAGCGUGCGCAGGCGGUUGGGUAAGACAGAUGUGAAAUCCCCGGGCUUAACCUGGGAACUGCAUUUGUGACUGUCCGACUGGAGUAUGUCAGAGGGGGGUGGAAUUCCAAGUGUAGCAGUGAAAUGCGUAGAUAUUUGGAAGAACACCGAUGGCGAAGGCAGCCCCCUGGGGCAAAACUGACGCUCAUGCACGAAAGCGUGGGGAGCAAACAGGAUUAGAUACCCUGGUAGUCCACGCCCUAAACGAUGUCUACUGGUUGUUGGAGGGUAAAACCUUCAGUAACGAAGCUAACGCGUGAAGUAGACCGCCUGGGGAGUACGGUCGCAAGAUUAAAACUCAA